GACCGCGUAGCUCAGUUGGCAGAGCAUUGGGCUAGUAUUCCAAAGGUCGUAGGUUCGAUUCCCAUCAUGGCCA